GUCUGGGUGGCUCAGUCGGUUGAGCAUCCAACUUCGGCUCAGGUCAUGAUCUCGCAGUCUGUGGGUUCGAGCCCCACUUCAGGCU
rnacentral:tRNA from 1 species